CAGGGGGUGCGCGCGGCGGGCGGGCGCGGCGCUCUGUCCCCACCGGCGCCGCCGGUCCGUCCGCUCCGCGCGGCCCCGCCCCCCGCGCUCACACCACCCGCCCGCCCGGCGCUGCGUCAGCCCGGCAAGAUGGAGACCGCCGAGGAAGAUAUAUGCAGAGUCUGUCGGUCUGAAGGAACUCCUGAGAAACCCCUCUAUCAUCCAUGUGUGUGUACUGGCAGUAUUAAAUUUAUUCAUCAGGAAUGCUUAGUUCAGUGGCUUAAACACAGCAGAAAAGAAUACUGUGAAUUAUGUAAGCACAGAUUUGCUUUCACACCAAGUAAGUAUGUUUUACUGCUCCUAUUUUUCAGAAUUUCUU